rnacentral:rRNA from 1 species
UACGUAGGGUGCAAGCGUUGUCCGGAAUUAUUGGGCGUAAAGAGCUUGUAGGCGGUUUGUCGCGUCUGCUGUGAAAUUUCGGGGCUCAACCCCGAACUUGCAGUGGGUACGGGCAGACUAGAGUGUGGUAGGGGAGACUGGAAUUCCCGGUGUAGCGGUGAAAUGCGCAGAUAUCGGGAGGAACACCAAUGGCGAAGGCAGCUCGCUGGGACGGUACUGACGCUGAGACGCGAAAGCGUGGGGAGCAAACAGG